rnacentral:rRNA from 1 species
AGGACGAACGCUGGCGGCGUGCUUAACACAUGCAAGUCGAACGGGCUCGUGGCACUUGUGUUGCGGGUUAGUGGCGAACGGGUGAGUAACACGUGAGUAACCUGCCCCAGACUCUGGGAUAACUCCGGGAAACCGGUGCUAAUACUGGAUAUGACAUCAAGCCGCAUGGUUAUGGUGUGGAAAGUUUUUCGGUCUGGGAUGGGCUCGCGGCCUAUCAGCUUGUUGGUGAGGUAGUGGCUCACCAAGGCGACGACGGGUAGCCGGCCUGAGAGGGCGAUCGGCCACACUGGGGACUGAGACACGGCCCAGACUCCUACGGGAGGCAGCAGUGGGGAAUAUUGCACAAUGGGCGCAAGCCUGAUGCAGCGACGCCGCGUGAGGGAUGAAGGCCUUCGGGUUGUAAACCUCUUUCAGUAUCGACGAAGCGCGAAGUGACGGUAGGUACAGAAGAAGGACCCGGACAACUACGCGCCAGCAGCCGCGGU